rnacentral:rRNA from 1 species
UACGGAGGGUGCAAGCAUUAAUCGGAUUUAUUGGGCGUAAAGGGCGCGUAGGCGGAAAUGUAAGUCGGAUGUGAAAUCCCGAGGCUCAACCUCGGAACUGCAUUUGAUACUACAUUCCUUGAGGAUAGUAGGAGAAAACGGAAUUCCACAAGUAGCGGUGAAAUGCGUAGAUAUGUGGAGGAACACCGGUGGCGAAGGCGGUUUUCUAUAUUAUUCCUGACGCUGAGGCGCGAAAGCAAGGGGAGCAAACAGG